rnacentral:tRNA from 1 species
GCCGCCCUAGCUCAAUGGUGGAGCAGCGGUAUUGUAAACCGCAGGUUCUCGGUUCGAGUCCGAGGGGCGGCU